UGUCUGCAGAGGACAAAGCGGUGUGUAGAGAGGAUGUGCAGGCACGUCCCAGGACACUGAGCACACGGACACAUGGACUGGACUCUCAGCUCUGCUCUGGGGGCAUCACACUCUCUCUACCCCGGACACAGGGUGAGCAGCUCGCACGUAUCCUGGAGAGUAUGGUCACAUGACCUGGACCUGGCCAAUCGGUGUGUUCCAUCCUCCCUGGCCACCGUGAGUGGCUCAGGACUGGGGCGGUGACCAAUCAGGGCCCAGGGCCGGGCCUCACACUGGAAUCAAGGGAAGAGGAGGGCUGGUUCUGCCGGAAGGGGUGAGGCCGGGUGAGGUCAGGCUACAGCCGUGGGAGGGGAGUGAGUUCAGCCUGGGGCAGUUGGUGGCCUUCCUGCGCCCGUCAGGGCAGAGCCUCCGGCCUGAUAAGGAGGGCGCUGCUGAGCCCGGGGGUUGAGAGCGCCGGUUCCUGCUGUGGUCCCGGAGCUCCCCUGAGACCGGAGGGAGGCCAUCUGCCCAUUCGACCCAAGGGGGCCCCCGGCAUUCAAAAUGGAGAUGAAAUAAGAACCCCAGGAAGAAGAAAUUCCAAUACGGGCCAUGUCUGCUCCAAAAAUCUCCAGAAAGCACCACCCUCGGCGGCAUCACCCCGAUGAUCUCCUCACUUGGAGACAAAUAAAAGCCCUACUAAUCAAGCUGAAAAUUUGGUCUCUCAACAAGGGUUGCCUCCGAGUCCUGAAUACAUUCUCCUGGCAAUGCUCAGUCUUUUGGCCUGUGCCUCCCCCUGCUCAAGCUCAGACUAACACCCAACCCCCCUCUAUUACAGGUGGUCGAAUGGACAGAGAGAGGACCAAUCAUUUCAACUAAUGACUCUAUACAUAUGCUUUCUCCCCUAGUACAUGAAAGGGCCUUCACACCCUGGGCAGGAAAGAAAACUAAUUAAUAUUUCUUUAGGCUAUGAAGUCCUUCCCUUGUGCAUGGGCCCAGCAAAAUUGUGCAUAAACGUCAGCCGACAAAUUUGGGCUGACAAACUUGGGCUUUCGUCCUGCCUC